rnacentral:rRNA from 1 species
UGCAGUCGAGGGGCAGCAUCAAUUGCUUGCAAUUGGAUGGCGACCGGCGCACGGGUGCGUAACGCGUAUAGAAUCUGCCUUGUACAGGAGGAUAGGCUUUAGAAAUGAAGAUUAAUACUCCAUAGUAUUGAUUUGCGGCAUCGCGAAUUAAUUAAAGAAUUUCGGUACAAGAUGACUAUGCGUCCUAUUAGCUAGAUGGUAAGGUAACGGCUUCCCAUGGCGACGAUAGGUAGGGGGUCUGAGAGGAUUAUCCCCCACACUGGUACUGAGACACGGACCAGACUCCUACGGGAGGCAGCAGUGAGGAAUAUUGGUCAAUGGAGGCAACUCUGAACCAGCCAUGCCGCGUGCAGGAAGACGGCCUUAUGGGUUGUAAACUGCUUUUAUACAGGAAGAAACUUAUUCACGUGUGAGUAACUGACGGUACUGUAGGAAUAAGCACCGGCUAACUCCGUGCCAGCAGCCGCGGUAAUACGGAGGGUGCGAGCGUUAUCCGGAAUCAUUGGGUUUAAAGGGUCCGCAGGCUGUUAAUUAAGUCAGA